AGUGGGUUGGCUCAGUGGUUAGAGCUUAGGUCUUGUAACCGAAAAGUAGCGAGAUCGAAUACCGCUGAAAUUUAUUU
rnacentral:tRNA from 1 species